rnacentral:rRNA from 1 species
GACGAACGCUGGCGGCGUGCUUAACACAUGCAAGUCGAACGAAGUGGCGAACGGGUGAGUAACGCGUAAUCAACCUGCCCUUCAGGGGGGGACACCAGUUGGAAACGACUGCUAAUACCGCAUACUGAAGGAGGGGAUUGCGUCUGAUUAGCUCGUUGGAGGGGUAACGGCCCACCAAGGCGAUGAUCAGUAGCCGGUCUGAGCGGAUGGACGGCCCCAUUGGGACUGAGACACGGCCCAGACUCCUACGGGAUGCAGCAGUGGGGAAUCUUCCGCAAUUGGGGAAAGUCUGGCGGAGCAACGCCGCGUGGGUGGUGACGGCCUUCGGGUUGUAAAGCUCUUUUAAUCGGGACGCGGUACCGGAAUAGAAAGCCACGGCUAACUACGUGCCAGCCGCCGCGGUAAUAC